rnacentral:tRNA from 1 species
UAAAGGUUCUUAUAGUUGAAUA